GACGAACGCUGGCGGCGUGCUUAACACAUGCAAGUCGAGCGGUAAGGCCUUUCGGGGGUACACGAGCGGCGAACGGGUGAGUAACACGUGGGUGACCUGCCCUCCACUUCGGGAUAAGCCUGGGAAACUGGGUCUAAUGCGGGAUGGGACCAUUCCAUGCCUGUGGGGUGGUGGAAAGUCGGUGCUGUUGUGGUGCUGGGCGGUGGGGGAUGGGCCCGCGGUCUAUCAGCUUGUUGGUGGGGUGAUGGCUUACCAAGGCGACGACGGAUAGCCGGCCUGAGAGGGUGAUCGGCCACACUGGGACUGAGACACGGCCCAGACUCCUACGGGAGGCAGCAGUGGGGAAUCUUGCGCAAUGGGCGGAAGCCUGACGCAGCAACGCCGCGUGGGGAUGAC
rnacentral:rRNA from 1 species